GACACCUUUGCCUCUAUCAUAUGCGGUCGUCGGUGGCGCCUGGUUCCAAAUCCGGCGCAAGUUAGUCGAGUCAGCCGAUGGUGAGGUGAAGGAGCAGAGUAGGCGACCCGUCGCGAUGGGAUGAGGCUACAGGGAAGAGGGUCAUGUCCCGUGGUGGCCCAGAUGCAGCCGCCCCGUGGCGGGCCUCGACGAGCACGGCCUCGAUCCGGCCUCAGCCGGAGGACCUCGAGCCAAGGAGUGCGGCCUCGAUUGGGACUCGGCAUCUGGGGCGACGACGGAGGAGGAGGGGAGCAGCAGCUAGCAUCUGGGGCGGCGGCGGCUGGACUCCAUGAGCUGGUCGAGGUGCUUCAUGUCAAGGAAGCAGCUGACAGUGCAAGCUGAGUGAUCCACGGCGAGGAAGAUGGGGAAGACAGAGCCAACACCGCCGAUUCCCACGGACCACUUCAGUUAGCAGAGCAUAAAAUGGAGCCGGCAACAGGGAUGAUGGAAUAAACAAUGGUGGCUGAACAGUGGAAACCCGAAGCUGGCUGAGAAAGAGGGAGGCAGUGCGUGGCGGAAGAGGGCGUCCAUGUGGUAUCCGUUUCUGGUCAUCUUCAGCUUGCAGGUGAGCGGUUUAAUAAAAUUGUAGCCAGUCCAUACUACAUGCUCCCAGAGGUAUUAAAGCACAAGUGUGGCCCUGAAAUCGAUGUCUGGAUUGUAGGAGUUAUACUUUACAUACUUCUUUGUGGUGUGCAAACAUUUUUGGAAGAUUCUGAACAGGGAGUAGCACAAGCAAUUAUGUGCUCAGUGGUAGAUUUCAAAAGAGACCCAAUGCCCAGAGUAUCUGAGCCUGCUAAAGACUUUGUUCGACAGACGCUGGAUCCCAAUCCCAAUCACACGGUUUACUACAACACACGUACUCGGUGGUGUCUGUCGGUAGGAUCUCCCUAAACAUGUGUCAUCAAAUCCAACUGCAAGCUACACGACAAGCUAUGAUUGAAUACCAUGUACAACUGACCUGCUGAUUUUGCUGCUGUGCUGGUCAGGGAGUGCGUCCACUGACAUACGGACACAAGAGAUAUUCAGUUAUGAGGAUUAGGAUAUUAAUGAUCGUUCAGUCAUUGAGGAUUAAAAGAGGCAUCAAUGCUCCAGUAGAGGUGGUAUUGAAGUCGUGGCUGUCAGUAGACCUUUUAUUGAUGCUAACUACAUGGAUAGCAGUCAUUGUGGAUUUGAAAGGAGACAUCAAGGCAGCAAAUGGGGCAGUAUUUUGAUCUCAUUUCAUCUGACGCAUUGAAUAUUUGUUGUCUUCUUUACAUGCCACCAAGUUCAUGUUGCUUUUCUUGUAUGAUUAUUUUGUAGUCUGCUCCACUGUGAACUUAAAUGAAGACCUAGGUUGAUUUCUAAUUUGUGAAUGUCAUUGAGCUGCUGCUACACACGCUGAAAGAUUGGGUUGGUAGACUGAUGUACAUUUGUUCAGUUCUUCCAUUGUUUAGAUGAUUCAGAAUUUGGCUCAGGCCAGUGGAUAAAAUAUGCUUAUUUGCAUGGUUGCUGGUGUAUGUUGGUCAUGCAUCUAAACUCACUUACUUCCCAUGAUUUUAGGAUGGCUGCUAAGCUUCUCCUUUUGCUGAAAAGUCUAUGGGCGAAUGUGUUGCUGUGGAUAGCUUGCCUGUAUGCAGAAUCUAUCCUUAGAUUCUAUGAGAUGAUGCAUUGGUGUGGUCAGCCUACCUGUGUGCAGAAUCUUUGUUUACAUUUUGUCAGAAUUUUGCUUUCUUCCUUAUUGUUCCCAUGGCGGUCUGAUCCUGUAGAUAAAAAUUGUGCGUGUCUACGAUCUACUAUGUCUGGUGCAUGUCUAUGUAGUUAUCCGAUGCAUGUCUAUGUAGUUAUCUGUUUAAUAAACUUAUACUUAGUUGGGUUGUCUGGAGAGUAUAAUAUGGUUGAAUGAUUGUUUGCAUGAUCAUAUCAUCAUUUGGGGGAUUGGUUUGAGUUCCUCAGGAAAUUUAAUUGUUCUGCCAUAAAACUUCACUGUGAAAAUUUUAAUUUCCAAGUUGACGUUCGGUCAUAUACAGGAAAAACUCACAUUUAUUUGUAUCUCAACUUUAUUGGUUUAUUUAACUAUGUAUAUUAUAAGAUUGGAGAUGGAAAAACUUUUGGUUUUGAAUGUGUCUUCUGUAUUUAGCAAACUGUUGCUAUUCUUGCAGUCUAUGAGAGCUAAAUUUACAGGGCGAGACUAGAUCCCAUCUGUUUGGAUUCAUCGUGUGCAUUGGAGCCACUGCUGCAAGAGCGUUGAACACUGUGUUGCAAGUAAUUCUUCUGUCGUCCGAGGGGGAGAAACUUAAUUCUAUGAACCUGCUCUUGUACAUGGCUCCAAUUGUUCUCAUUCUCUUGCUUCCUGCUACCCUCUUUAUGGAGGAUAAUGUUGUUGGCGUUACAACAGAACUGGUCAAAAAGGAUUUCACUAUUGUUUGGUUGCUGUUGUUCAACUCUUGCUUGUAAUAUCCUGUCAAUUUCACCAAUUUCUUGGUGACGAAACAUACUAGCGCAUUGGCACUACAUAUUUCUUGCAUGGAGAGGAGCGUUGCGAUGACACCUCCAGAACCUACGCAAUGAUGAAAGCAGCCUCGCGAAGAUAGGAGUUAUCCUGGUUAGUUGUUCCUGUGGGAAAUGGAGUCCCAUGGCCACUGAUGAACCACAAACCACUUCCGUCAUC